AGAAUCAACGCUGGCGGCGUGCCUAACACAUGCAAGUCGAACGAGAAAGCGGAGCAAUCCGCAAGUAAAGUGGCGCACGGGUGAGUAACACGUGACUAACCUACCCUGGAGUGGGGGAUAACUGAGAGAAAUCUUAGCUAAUACCGCAUAACACCUACGGGUCAAAGGAGCAAUUCGCUUCAGGAGGGGUCGCGGCAGAUUAGAUAGUUGGCGGGGUAAUGGCCCACCAAGUCAGUGAUCUGUA
rnacentral:rRNA from 1 species